rnacentral:rRNA from 1 species
AGAGUUUGAUCCUGGCUCAGAUUGAACGCUGGCGGCAUGCUUUACACAUGCAAGUCGAACGGCAGCACGGGUGCUUGCACCUGGUGGCGAGUGGCGAACGGGUGAGUAAUAUAUCGGAACAUGUCCGGAAGUGGGGGAUAACGUAGCGAAAGUUACGCUAAUACCGCAUAUGCCCUGAGGGGGAAAGGGGGGGAUCGCAAGACCUCUCGCUUUCGGAGUGGCCGAUAUCAGAUUAGCUAGUUGGUGAGGUAAAGGCUCACCAAGGCGACGAUCUGUAGCUGGUCUGAGAGGACGACCAGCCACACUGGGACUGAGACACGGCCCAGACUCCUACGGGAGGCAGCAGUGGGGAAUUUUGGACAAUGGGCGAAAGCCUGAUCCAGCCAUGCCGCGUGAGUGAAGAAGGCCUUCGGGUUGUAAAGCUCUUUCGGACAGAAAGAAAUCGCACUGGUUAAUACCUUGUGUGGAUGACGGUACUGUAAGAAGAAGCACCGGCUAACUACGUGCCAGCAGCCGCGGUAAUAC